GGAUUAGAUACCCUGGUAGUCCACGCCGUAAACGAUGGAUACUCGCUGGUGGCGAUAGACGGUCACUGGCUUAGCGAAAGCGUUAAGUAUCCCACCUGGGGAGUACGCCCGCAAGGGUGAAACUCAAAAGAAUUGACGGGGGCCCGCACAAGUGGUGGAGCAUGUGGUUUAAUUCGAUGAUACGCGAGGAACCUUACCUAGGCUAGAAUGCGCGUGACCGCCUCAGAGAUGAGGCUUUCCUUCGGGACACAAAGCAAGGUGCUGCAUGGCCGUCGUCAGCUCGUGCCG
rnacentral:rRNA from 1 species